UAUUCGCGAUUAUCGAGAUUAAUUGGGAAUCUUUUUGACUCGCGAGGUUUAUAAGAUAGAGGAAGGCCCUACGUUCGUAUCGCGAUAAUUAAAAGCGUAUAUAUUUUAAUUAUUUUCAUAGAAGUAAUAAUAGUCGUGCGUACUCCAUCGUCAUAAUUCGAAUUAAUAAAAUUAUUUAAGAUCGUUCCUCUAUCAAAUUUCAUAUUACAAAAGGCUGAUUUUUAAUAAAAGCUUGAGAAAGUAAUAAUUUACUUGUUGGAACGUAAUUAUCGAAAGUGGACGUAGUGCGCAUGCCCGGCGUAGUGUUAUCGUUUUGCCGGUAAAAACUACGCCAUCGGUUGGUUUGUGCUAGAGUUCCGCGUAUCGUUCUCAUCAAUUACAGGUAUCAACCGUGAAAUUUUAUCCAGUGACCUCGAAGAGGAUGACGCGUGGACCGGCUCGAAAGGUCGUCGAAGGUUGAUAAUAACGGGAAUCGGUUGGACGGUCCUCUCACCACUUAACUGCUGCCUACGUUUCUUUAAAUAGAGCGUAGUUCUCGGGUGACCGUGUCGGUUCCGCGAACUCGCCGGCCGAUUCCAAGUACGUCGCUAUGGAAUGUCGCUGGCUUUGCUAAUACAUUUUUGCAUUUGCUAUCUCUACCAGCACUGAACGAGAAAAGGAAGAGGAAGUGGAAGAGGAAGACUACUCUCCCACCUUCAACGAGCCGAUUCGCCUCAGGCGUUUCUAUCGACGCGAAUACUUACCGUCGUUGCAUGAGUUGCUUCUCUCCCUCCCUCUCGCUCUCCCCCCCCCCUCUCUCUCUCUCUCUCUCUCUAAAGAUGACCCCACGAAUGGAAACGUAGACUCGAGACGGAGGUGAUCCUCCUCUUCUUACGAUUACGAGUCCGUACAGCAAGGUCAAAGUACGUUUAUCGGCAAGAGAUAGGAUUUCCUGCUGUCGUCUGGCCAGACGAGGAUUGUAUUGCCAAUAUUUAUUGCAUACAGAGUGUGAACCGUGUAAUACGAUCAAUUGGGAAUUGUUUUUCCCGAGGAAUUUGCAUCGUCGACCAAAUUCUUAGAGACUCGUCAAAAGAGAGAAAACCGAUGGAAUCCUUCAAUAAGCAAGAAGUUAUCGAGACGUGGUACUUCUCGUCCGGUUGAAUUCUCUCUCUCUCUCUCUCUCUCUCUGUCUCUUAGUCGCAGUGACGUUCUCGUUUUCUAAAGAAGGAAUAAUAGGAGCUGUGACGUCGAUACCACCGGCUCUUAGAAAGGGUAGUAAAGGAGAGGGAGGGAGGCAUUCGAGGGGUGAGAAAACAAAGGUUUUCAUCCGUCGAGACCCGUAACCAAGUACGCAUAUCGUGUCGUGCGACUCCUGAUAUAUUCCACAAUUAACCUUACUAAUAAAUUAUUGCUCUACCGACUUCUCGUUGGUAAGAAACCAAUGAGUACAAUCAUAUCACGUGACCCCAAGCCACGUUGGAUUAUCCGACUGUUCGCAGUGCCCUUGAAAGCAGUCAUUUAUAAUAUUUUCUUAGAUAGACGCGUUAGCUGGUCAUGUGUUUCGAUCAAUGAACUUUCCUUAAUGCCUUCUAUGCGUGUAAAUAGUAAGACAUACAGGAAUCGAAGAAACUUGGCGAAGUAAAUAAUGAAAAUAGAGAGAGAGAGAGAGAGAGAGAGAGAGAGAGAGAGAGAGAGAGAGAGAGAGAGAGAGAGAGAGUGAAAACAAGAAAGAAACUAAGGAAGGAAGGAAAGAAGGAAGGAAAAACGAAUCGGGUCGCGUUGGGUCGUUCGCCAGGAAAUCAGUCAACCGGUUUCGUUGUCGUCGUCGUCGUCGUCGUCGUCGUUGAGAGGGAAAGAGACGACGUAGAUGAAGAGCUUGAAACAUAGAGUAAGCAUAGAGAAAGAAGAUGGAGAGGAAAGAGAAGAGAGGAGAGAAUAGGUAUCGGCGUGAGUACUUCUCCCCUCUUUUCGCGUAGCGUCUCUUUUCCUCCUUUUCUCCCUGACUCUUCUCUUUUCUGUUGUUAGUUCCCUUGUCGAGGGAACGAAAAAGAGCGAAAAGCUACGAGGGUUGCCGAGUAAAGACGAGAAGCAACGAGGAGAUACGAGGAAGGCCGAGGAGAGUCGCACACCGCGGCGCUGAACGCAGUGCCAUCCGAUAGGCAGCACCGCUUGCUCCGUGGAUCCUUCGCUUCGCUCGCUCGUACGGAAGCCCUGGUUCUCUCUUCGUGUUCUCCCACCUUUUUUCUCUUUCCCUCUCUCUCUUUUUUUCCUUCCUUCUCUCUCUGUUUUUAUCAGAGAGAGAGAGAGGGAGAGAGAGACGAGCAAGCUUCCUCAUUUCUCGCGUCUCUUUCUCUUUCGAUAGUCGAAGUAAUAUUAUCGUGGGCCUUGGUGCGCCUUUUUGUUGUCGUUCGUUGCUCACACGCACGCACGUACGCACGCACGUAUGCACGCACGCAGCGUGAACGAUUUCGCACGAUAUACACAAACAUAUACAUAUGUAUAGGAGUAAUACAUAGAUGCAGUGAAUCUUACGCGACGCACGUCUCUCUCUCUCUCUCUCUCUCUCUCUCUCGUCUCGUCUCUCUCUCCCUCUCUCUCUCUGUCUGUCUUUCUCUCUCUUUGAUCUCUCUUUCGUGGCCUGGAAAACACGGAGAUUCACAUGGUGUGGACGUCAUCGUUGUCAUCGUCGUCAACGUCAUCAUCGUUAUCGUCAGCGUCAUCGUCGCAAUCUAUCUUCCAUCGUCGUGCUGUGAUCGUCGCUGUGUAUCGUUGUUGAUGAUCAUCGCCGUCCGUACCGUUGCGUACACGCACACACAUGUAUUACGCAUCGUCGACGUGAGGAGAACCACCCCCUCCCCUUGCAGCUCAUCAAGGAGCGGACGCGUGCUGGUCAACACGGUAAAUUCUAUAGAUGCAUAUCCCGAAGGAAACACGUAUCUCCCGUGCCAUCGGAGAGAAAAGGUUGCAAUAGCAAUUGACGAGAUAGAAGAGAAGGAAAGAAAGAAGGAAGAAGAGGAAAGAAAAGAUCGAAGAAGAAAAAGGAUGCAAAGUAGCAGAGGAUCCUUCGGAUUUCUCGAGGAUCAUCGUUCUAUCAUUCUCGAAUGCAUUGAUCGUCUUUGUUCGCGAUGAUGGAGGAAACAGAGCCGAUGCUUUUCUUAAUUGUCAGA